UACGUAGGGGCCUAGCGUUGUCCGGAUUUAUUGGGCGUAAAGAGCUCGUAGGCGGUCUGUCGCGUCGGCUGUGAAAACCUGGGGCUCAACUCCGGGCCUGCAGCCGAUACGGGCAGACUAGAAUUCGGUAGGGGAGACUGAAAUUCCUGGUGUAGCGGUGAAAUGCGCAGAUAUCAGGAGGAACACCGGUGGCGAAGGCGGGUCUCUAGGCCGAUAUUGACGCUGAGGAGCGAAAGCGUGGGGAGCGAACAGG
rnacentral:rRNA from 1 species